rfam:Papilio xuthus contig17529, whole genome shotgun sequence.
ACGUCGGUGGCUCAGGGGUCAAGCACUUGACUUGUAAUCCGCAGGUCCUGGGUUCGAAUCCCGGCAAGUGUU